rnacentral:rRNA from 1 species
GACGAACGCUGGCGGCGUGCCUAACACAUGCAAGUCGAGCGGAGAUGUACUGAAGAUUUAUCGGAUGUACAUCUUAGCGGCGGACGGGUGAGUAACGCGUGGGCAACCUGCCUUCCACUGGGGGAUAACACAGGGAAACCUGUGCUAAUACCGCAUGACAUCACAUAGGGCAUCCUGUGUGAUCAAAGGAGUGAUCCGGUGGAAGAUGGGCCCGCGUCCGAUUAGCUAGUUGGUGAGGUAACGGCUCACCAAGGCGACGAUCGGUAGCCGGACUGAGAGGUUGGCCGGCCACAUUGGGACUGAGACACGGCCCAGACUCCUACGGGAGGCAGCAGUGGGGAAUUUUGGACAAUGGGCGAAAGCCUGAUCCAGCCAUGCCGCGUGCAGGAAGAAGGCCUUCGGUUGUAACGUGCUUAGUCUAGGAAAAGGGUAGGACGGAGGUUAAUACCUCGUGCUUGUAUGGUACUGGAAGAAGUAAGACCGCUAACUACGUGACCG